GCGUCUGUUGUCUAGUGGUCAGGAUCUCGGCCUUCCAAGCCGAUGACCCGGGUUCAAUUCCCGGCAGACGCA
rnacentral:tRNA from 1 species